GGGAGUUGUCUGCGGGGGGAUGGAGAUUAUUGAGUGCUGCCUGCUUUUAUUAGGGUUGUUUUGUGGUCGAGCACAGGUAGAUGGAAAUCCAGUGAAUUUGGCACAAAAAGCCAAAGCCUCUCAGAUCAGCACAAUCAGUUCUCUGUGGGUCGCGAACAACGCCAUCGAUGGAGGCAAGAAUUUCUCCACAUUAUCAACUACAUGCGCUGCUACUACCUGGGAAAAUUUCCCAUGGCUUAAGGUGGAUCUGCAGGCUGUCUAUCAAGUGAGCACUGCCACGGUCACUUACAGAGAGGACAGCUUUCCAGACAAGACAGUCACGGUGAACUUCGGAAGCUCUCUUGAAUUCGAUGGAUACAACAAUCCCAAGUAAGUGAU
rnacentral:lncRNA from 1 species